rnacentral:rRNA from 1 species
AUGAACGCUGGCGGCGUGCCUAAUACAUGCAAGUCGAGCGAACAGAUAAGGAGCUUGCUCCUUUGACGUUAGCGGCGGACGGGUGAGUAACACGUGGGUAACCUACCUAUAAGACUGGGAUAACUUCGGGAAACCGGAGCUAAUACCGGAUAACAUUUGGAACCGCAUGGUUCUAAAGUGAAAGAUGGUUUUGCUAUCACUUAUAGAUGGACCCGCGCCGUAUUAGCUAGUUGGUAAGGUAACGGCUUACCAAGGCGACGAUACGUAGCCGACCUGAGAGGGUGAUCGGCCACACUGGAACUGAGACACGGUCCAGACUCCUACGGGAGGCAGCAGUAGGGAAUCUUCCGCAAUGGGCGAAAGCCUGACGGAGCAACGCCGCGUGAGUGAUGAAGGGUUUCGGCUCGUAAAACUCUGUUAUUAGGGAAGAACAAACGUGUAAGUAACUGUGCACGUCUUGACGGUAACUAAUCAGAAAGCCACGGCUAACUACGUG